UACGGAGGGGGCUAGCGUUGUUCGGAAUUACUGGGCGUAAAGCGCGCGUAGGCGGCUUUGCAAGUUAGAGGUGAAAGCCCGAAGCUCAACUUCGGAAUUGCCUUUAAAACUGCGAGGCUAGAAUUGUGGAGAGGGAAGUGGAAUUCCGGGUGUAGUGGUGAAAUGCGUAGAUAUCCGGAGGAACACCAGUGGCGAAGGCGACUUUCUGGCCUGUUCUUGACGCUGAGGCGCGAAAGCUAGGGGAGCAAACGGG
rnacentral:rRNA from 1 species